GCAAGUCGAACGAUGAAGCUGGAGCUUGCUCCGGUGGAUUAGUGGCGAACGGGUGAGUAACACGUGAGCAAUCUGCCCUUGACUCUGGGAUAACUGCGGGAAACUGUAGCUAAUACCGGAUACGAGACUUGGAGGCAUCUCCAGGUCUGGAAAGAAUUUCGGUCAAGGAUGAGCUCGCGGCCUAUCAGCUAGUUGGUGAGGUAAUGGCUCACCAAGGCGACGACGGGUAGCCGGCCUGAGAGGGUGACCGGCCACACUGGGACUGAGACACGGCCCAGACUCCUACGGGAGGCAGCAGUGGGGAAUAUUGCACAAUGGGCGAAAGCCUGAUGCAGCAACGCCGCGUGAGGGAUGAAGGCCUUCGGGUUGUAAACCUCUUUUAGCAGGGAAGAAGCGAAAGUGACGGUACCUGCAGAAAAAGCACCGGCUAACUACGUGCCAGCAGCCGCGGUAAUACGUAGGGUGCAAGCGUUGUCCGGAAUUAUUGGGCGUAAAGAGCUCGUAGGCGGUUUGUCGCGUCUGCUGUGAAAAUCCGAGGCUCAACCUCGGACUUGCAGUGGGUACGGGCAGACUAGAGUGCAGUAGGGGAGAAGGGAAUUCCUGGUGUAGCGGUGGAAUGCGCAGGUAUCAGGAGGAACACCGAUGGCGAAGGCACUUCUCCGGGCUGUAACUGACGCUGAGGAGCGAAAGCGUGGGGAGCGAACAGGAUUAGAUACCCUGGUAGUCCACGCCGUAAACGUUGGGCGCUAGAUGUGGGCCACAUUCCACGUGGUCCGUGUCGCAGCUAACGCAUUAAGCGCCCCGCCUGGGGAGUACGGCCGCAAGGCUAAAACUCAAAGGAAUUGACGGGGGCCCGCACAAGCGGCGGAGCAUGCGGAUUAAUUCGAUGCAACGCGAAGAACCUUACCAAGGCUUGACAUAUAGAGGAAACGUUCAGAAAUGGUCGCCCUCAGCAUGGUCUCUAUACAGGUGGUGCAUGGUUGUCGUCAGCUCGUGUCGUGAGAUGUUGGGGUAAG
rnacentral:rRNA from 1 species